rnacentral:rRNA from 1 species
GUAGGGAAUAUUGCGCAAUGGACGAAAGUCUGACGCAGCGACGCCGCGUGAGUGAUGAAGGCCUUAGGGUCGUAAAGCUCUGUUGAAUGGGAAGAAAAAAAUGACGGUACCAUUCGAGGAAGGACCGGCUAACUUCGUGCCAGCAGCCGCGGUAAUACGAGGGGUCCUAGCGUUGUUCGGAAUCAUUGGGCGUAAAGGGUGUGUAGGUGGCCAUGUAAGUCAGGUGUGAAAGCCCCGGGCUCAACCCGGGAGGUGCACUUGAUACUGCGUGGCUUGAGUACCGAAGAGGGUAGUGGAAUUCCAGGUGUAGUGGUGAAAUACGUAGAUAUCUGGAGGAACACCGGUGGCGAAGGCGGCUACCUGGUCGAGUACUGACACUGAGACACGAAAGCAUGGGGAUCAAACAGGAUUAGAAACCCCUGUAGUCC